rnacentral:lncRNA from 1 species
UUUUUUUUUUUUUUUUUUUUUUUUUUUUUUUUUUUUUGUCUUUUGUUGUUGUUGUUGUUGCUAUUUCUUGGGCCGCUCCCACGGCAUAUGGAGGUUCCCAGGCUAGGGGUUGAAUCGGAGCUGUAGCCACUGGCCUAUGCCAGAGCCACAGCAACGCGGGAUCUGAGCCGCGUCUGCGACCUACACCACAGCUCACGGCAACGCCGGAUCAUUAACCCACUGAGCAAGGGCAGGGACCGAACCCGCAACUAAUGGUUCCUAGUCGGAUUCGUUAACCACUGCGCCACGACGGGAACUCCUGUGCAAGUCAUUUUACAUAUAGAUGUAUUUUUUUUUUAUCUGUUUGUGGGAGAAGGUGAGUGCGACGUUUUACUCCUCCACCAUCUUGAUCUUUCAAACAUGAGUUUUUCAAAGUCUGUGAAUCAUACAAAAUGGAGUUAGACAGUGAAGACAAACAUCAUAUGAUAUCACUUAUAUGUGGAAUCUUAUAAAAAGGAUACAAAUGAACUUAUGUGCAGAGCAGAAACAGACUCAAAGAUUUUGACUUUUACUUUGCAUUGGGCAAGUCUGAUUUUCUGCCCAGUAUGGUGUAUGGAAAUCCAUCACGAAAGCGUACAUGGAGUGCUGCUUUGGAGGUGUGAUUUCACGGAUGCCAGGACAACUUCAGGCUGGUAUUGCCAAGGCCAUGUCCUUCUCUCAGCGCUUCCAUGCAAGGCACAACCAGGGUGCACCAGGGAGGCCUGGCUUGUUUGAAGCUCCCUUUAAUAUUGGAGGCCUGGUACUUAUACUUUCAUGAGUUUUGGCUUUGGACUGGCUUUGCUUUGGAAUGACUUGAGCUUCUUGGAACAGAGCCAAGUAAAGGGAGGUACAAGAAUAUAAAAGUGCUAGUCCAUGAAGUGGGACGACUAGUGGCUGAGCACUAGAAAUAACAGCAAGUUGCAUAAGGCUUAUUAUCAUUAUUAAUUAAAUUCUUAUUAUUUAAUGACAAAAAUGGUUUAAUCUGUCCAGCAGGCAGAUCACCAAUGCCUCAGCAAAUGAGAUCUCAGAGUCUGAAUGUAGUUCUGGCCCCAACAGCCAGGUCAGGUGAGGGCCCUGGGGAAAGCCUGGGCCAGAGCCCACCCUCACCCUGUGUGGCUCUAAGCUCCUUCACAUACUCAUUUGGUCUCUUCUUUUGUAAAUGGGUGUCUUAACAUCUCCUGCUGAACGUGGUUCUUCAUAUUAUGAAGGCAGGGUUUAUUGCUGGUGGUAUUAUCUUGAUUAUCUGUGAAAUUCCAGCUGGGGGAGAUGAAUUUGCUGAUGACUAGUGACAUGUUCACUCUGUAAGUCAAAAGCUAUGCAUUUCAUUGACUUAAUACACAUUUAUGUAAAUUAGUAGAAGGGUCCAAAUUUAUAAUUGGACUUAAUGCUCUGAUUUCCAGACAGCAGCACUGUUAUGAGUCAAUGCCUUCUAAUCUGAAGUUGUCCUAAGCAGCAAAAAAAAGUGAUUUUUUUUUUAAGAAUUCUUUUGUUCUUUUGUUCGUAAGACUCUCAAUAUGUGUACUUUUUUCCUCCUCUAAAAUCAAAGCAUGGAUGUCAUAUAACUUUCUAAGGUAAAUGUAUUUAUUGAAAAAAAAGAGCUUUAGUGCUUUCUAAAUUCAAUUUGGUGAACUUUAUGAAAAUGCAUAUAACCAGGAAUCUUGAUAACUAGAUUAACAGGAAAAUGAUAUAACCAAAUUUUCUGUCCUUUCAAAUUUUUUUGUUUCAAAUUAAAGAGAAAAAAUGAAAUGCUCAUUUGCAAAAGUGUGAGUCACAGAAGAGCUACACUGUGCAAAAAUAUACAGUAAAAAAUAGCUAUAGAUGCAGAGUUUAUUUUCAAUAUCUGCAAAGAAAAUGAGAUGUAGGUGUUUCUAAGCUAAGUACUGCAAAACUAAAAUGUCUUUGAAUAUACUUACAGUUUAAUUAUAGACAGAAAACAAUCUACAAUUCUAAUCCUCAAAUGAGAUGUCUUUAAGUUAAAAAAUGUUCAGAAUUUUAUAUGCAAUGAAAAUGAAGCUAUGAUGUCUUUGUGAAGAGUAUAGUCUGAUUGUUGGUGCUUUUGGGAUUUGGAAUAAUUGGUGUUUAGUGGACUCUAGACAUGGCCUAAGGAAGGCAGCACAAAUGUGAGUGGAAACUCUGGUACCCUGGAGUCAGUUUAUUUUGUUGUUGUUCCUACAUUUUCUUAAAGAGCUAAUUUGUUGUGUUGGAAAGGAAGACAUUUUCCCCUGCCUCAUCCUUCUGGCUGGUCUAAGAAUUAAACUGAGAGGAGACAGAUUACCAGGAAGGAGGAAAAUCAAACAAGAGUUCAAUUGCAUGAAUCCCUGGGAGAGACCCAGGAAAAAUGAGUAAUGUGCCAAAAUAUCCUAAACCUGCACCAUAAAUGCCAUCUUCAGCUGAAGACAAAAAGAGGAUGUUGCGGGUAGAGGUUUGGGACUUCACAGGUGGUGGUGGCAGGAAGGGAGGACAAUCAAUUGGUAAACACAUGUUUGCUGGGCCCUCAGAGGCAAUGGACACAAAGUGGACUCUGAUCUCCAGGCCCUGCAGGUUCCCACCACACAUAGCCCAUGGUCUUAGCAGGUGUCUCUGGUGAGAGCUCUGUUGCCUAGAACAGGUUCUCCAUCUGAUUCUUUUAAGCAGUUAAGGAGGAGGUAAAUAGUAGCAUGUUCUAAGUCUUCUCUUUCUUAAAAAUAAUCAGCCUAAGUUAAUCCUCAUGCCAAGGAGACACAUUUUGAAGUGGCAAAUUUUGCUCCCUAUAGUUGUUGUUUUCUUUUUUUAAAAAAAUUAAAACAAUUUUAGAACCAUUUGCAGUUCAGAAAAAUUAAGAGGAUGCUACAGAGAUUUCCCAUGAACCUGGUGCCGCCACACAUGCACAGUCUCCUGCAGUGUCAACAUCCCCACAAGAUGGUAUGUUUAAUGAAAGUAUGUUGACAUGUCACCAUCACCUAAAUCCGGGGUUUACACUGGGCUUCACUCUUGGACAAUUUAUGGGUUUGGACACAUGGAUAAUGGCAUGUGUCCACCAUUUUGACAUCACAGAGUAGAUUCACUGCCCUAAACCCCCUGCCCCUUGGUCUGUCUAUUCAUUCCUCCUCCCUCACUCCUGGCAACCACUGAUCUUUUUACUGUCCCCAUAGUUUUGCCUUUUCUGGAGUGUCAUAUAGUUGGGAUCAAAUAUUACAUAGCCUUUUCAGACUAGACUCUUUGACUUAGUAACAUGCAUGCCAGGUUCCUCCAUGUCAUUUCAUGCUCAAGAGGUCAUUUAUUUUUUAGCUGAAUAAUAUACCAUUGUUUGGAUAGCCCACAGUUUAUUUACUCCUUCACCUACUGAAGGACAUCUGGUAGCUACCAAGUUUGGGUGGUUAAUGAACAUAACUCUGAUAAACAUUGGUGUGCAGGUUUUUGUGUAUUCGUAAAUUUUCAACUCCUUUGGGUAAACACCAAUGAGCAUGAUUGCUGGGUCAUUUUGUAAAAGUACAACUCCCCCCAUCUGUGGGGGUAUGCCUUAAAAUCUACACUGGACACCUGAAACCACGGAUGGUACCGAACCCUAUGUAUACUGUGCUUUUUCCUAUACAUACCUACCUAUGAUAGGUUCAGUUUAUAAAUUAGACACAAUAAGAAAUAAUAAUUAAUAAUAAUGUAUAACAAUUAUAAUAAUAUACUGAAGUGAAAGUUAUGUGAUGCUGGCCUCUCUCUCAGAAUGUCUUAUUGUACUGUCCUCACCAUUCUUGUGAUGAUGUGAGAUGGUAAAGUGCCUAUGUGAUGAGAUGAAGGGAGGAUAACAUGGUAGCAUUGCAAUGUAGUGUUAGGCUCCCCUUGACCCUCAGUCCCUAGGUCAGGAGGGUCAUCUCCUUUGGGAGACCCCGGUGGUUGAGCCAUGGUGAUGAUAAUGGUGGUGAUGGUGGGGGAUUCUGCGUGGGAAGGAGCAGGAUGGUGAGAGAUGACACCCUACUCAGAAUGAUGUCUGAGUUCUUUCUGGAAUCUUCUAUUUAGUAUUUCCAGAUUGUGGCUGACCACAGGUAACUUAAAUCCUAGAAAGUGAAACUAUGGAUAAGAUGGGGCUACUAGGUGUUUAUUUUGUAAGAAGGUCCAAUUUUCUUCCCAAGUGGCUCAAGAGCUAAUUUUAGGUCUUGUUUCCAUUUCCUAGCUGGACACCUGCUGGCAGUCAUCCAACCUUUCUGACCCCUGAUGUGUUAACUAUUCAAUGGGAAUUAUCACUGUGAAAUGUGCUUUUUUGGUCUAUAUGAGGAUCAUUCAUGCUAAUUAUUCUACAAAUGUCAAUUAGUGCAAUGAAUAAUAGUUAUUGAAUAGUAAGCAUUUAUAAUAUGGCUUGAAAUAUGCAUUCAUACUCUAUCACAACAGUGCUUUAACAACAAUAUCAUUUAAAGAUUGAAUGAGUUGAGGACAUUUGAUUACGUACGAGGCCAUAAAUUAAUGAACAAAAAAGCCUCAAUUUAAAAUAAGAUCUAUUUGACCCCCCAAACUGGGUUUUCUACUGCCCUUCUGGCUUUGUAAUUGUUAAUUCUCAUCUCCUUGUGACUUUUUUGUAGAAGACUAAAUUCCUUUCUUCUUUCCCCAGUUAAGAGAGCUAUGAACAAAAACAACAAAACAGAACAAAGUGCUUUGAGUUCCAGAAUAUCUAGCUCAGGAUACUUAAAUUCUCCCAUUUUCAGGUUGUAAUUAGUUAUAGGUAAUCUAGCAGAGGCAAACCUCAUGAUACCAUCAGAGAGAAAACAAUAUGGAGCUCAAAGAAUGCAUGUUUCUGCUAAUCGUUAGUGUGGUUGUAAAGAUGGACUUGUUGGUUUUUUUCCACAUGAUUCCCUGUUGUAAACCACUAGAUUAUUAGAGACACUGACUGUCUGAUCAGUUACUCUGUGAGUCUAUGACUAGAGUAAAUGUUUACAAAAUACAAUACGCAGGUGUCUAGAUUUCAUAUACUCUCCUGAGUAAGGGCUCAGUGACAGCCAUGGAUUGAAUGGCUCUUUGCAUCCUUGCAGCUAAGAGGGAAGGGGAAAGGACAUCUGCUUAAGAGGCAAGAACAUAUUUCACCACUGGUGUGAGCAAGGAAGGUAGAUUUAUUUUCUUAGUG